CUACGUAGGGGGCAAGCGGUUGUCCGGAUUUAUUGGGCGUAAAGAGCGGUGUAAGGGCGGCCAGACGGGUCCGUUGGUUGAAAACUAGAGGGCUUAACCUCUAAGACCGGUCCGAGUGGAAAACCCGUCUGGGCUAGAGUCCGGAAAGAGGAGAAUGGAAUUCCUGGUGUGGAGGACCGGUGAAAUGCGACAGAUAUCAGGAAGAACACCCGUGGCGGAAAGGCGGCUCUCUGGGAACGGUACUGACGCUGAGACGCGAAAGCGUGGGGGAGCGAAACAGGG
rnacentral:rRNA from 1 species